CUGGUUGAUCCUGCCAGACCCGACUGCUAUCGGAUUGGGACUAAGCCAUGCGAGUCAACUCCGCAAGGGGUGGCGCACGGCUCAGUAACACGUAGUCAACCUACCCUGGGGACGGGGAUAACCUCGGGAAACUGAGGCUAAACCCCGAUGGGCCAUGGCUCCUGGAAUGGGCUAUGGCUGAAAUCUACAUGGCCCCAGGAUGGGACUGCGGCCGAUCAGGUUGUUGGUGGGGUAAUGGCCCACCAAGCCUAUAACCGGUGCGGGCUCUGAGAGGAGGAGCCCGGAGAUGGGCACUGAGACAAGGGCCCAGGUCCUAUGGGGCGCAGCAGGCGCGAAACCUCCGCAAUGGGCGAAAGCCCGACGGGGUCAGUCCGAGUGGUUCCCGCUGAGGGAACCUUUUGCCAGCUGUAAACAGGCUGGCGAAUAAGGGGUGGGCAAGUUUGGUGUCAGCCGCCGCGGUAAUACCAGCACCCCGAGUGGUCGGGACGAUUAUUGGGCCUAAAGCAUCCGUAGCCGGCCCAGUAAGUCCUCCGUUAAAUCCAACGGCUCAACCGUUGGGCUGCGGGGGAUACUGCUGGGCUAGGGGACGGGAGAGGCGAGGGGUAUUCCCGGGGUAGGGGUAAAAUCCACUGAUCCCGGGAGGACCACCAGUGGCGAAGGCGCCUCGCUAGAACGUGCCCGACGGUGAGGGAUGAAAGCUGGGGGAGCGAACCGGAUUAGAUACCCGGGUAGUCCCAGCCGUAAACGAUGUAGGCUCGGUGUUGGGCUGCCUCAGUGGCAGCCCAGUGCCGCAGGGAAGCCGUUAAGCCUACCGCCUGGGGAGUACGGCCGCAAGGCUGAAACUUAAAGGAGUUGGCGGGGGAGCACCCC
rnacentral:rRNA from 1 species